UUUAUGGAGAGUUUGAUCCUGGCUCAGGAUGAACGCUGGCGGCGUGCCUAAUACAUGCAAGUCGAGCGAACAGAUAAGGAGCUUGCUCCUUUGACGUUAGCGGCGGACGGGUGAGUAACACGUGGGUAACCUACCUAUAAGACUGGAAUAACCCCGGGAAACCGGGGCUAAU
rnacentral:rRNA from 1 species